rnacentral:tRNA from 1 species
GCGGGUAUAGCUCAAGUGGUAAAGCCCAAGCCUAGCGUGCUCGAGGGCCUGGGUUUAAUCCCCAGUACCUCCA